UACAGAGGUCCCAAGCGUUGUUCGGAUUCAUUGGGCGUAAAGGGCGCGUAGGUGGCGCGGUAAGUCGGGUGUGAAAUUUCGGAGCUUAACUCCGAAACUGCAUUCGAUACUGCCGUGCUUGAGGACUGGAGAGGAGACUGGAAUUUACGGUGUAGCAGUGAAAUGCGUAGAGAUCGUAAGGAAGACCAGUGGCGAAGGCGGGUCUCUGGACAGUUCCUGACACUGAGGCACGAAGGCCAGGGGAGCAAACGGG
rnacentral:rRNA from 1 species